UCUGAACUCAGAUCACGUAAGAAAAAAAAGUCGAACAGACUUAAACUUUAAACUGCUGCACCUAAAGCUAUAUCUUAAUCCAACAUCGAGGUCGCAAUCUUUUUUAUCAAUAUGAACUCUCCAAAAAAAUUACGCUGUUAUCCCUAAAGUAACUUAAUUUUAUAAUCACUAAUAAUGGAUCAAAUAUUCAUAAAUUAAUGAUUUUAACAAUAAAAGUUUAUUAAAUUUUACUAUCACCCCAAUAAAAUAUAUGUUUUUAUUUUAAUUAAAUUUAUCAUAAAAAUAAAAAAUAUUACAUAUAUAAAGAUUUAUAGGGUCUUCUCGUCUUUUAAAUAUAUUUUAGCUUUUUAACUAAAAAAUAAAAUUCUAUUUUAAUUUAUAAUGAAACAGUUAAUAUUUCGUCCAACCAUUCAUUCCAGCCUCCAAUUAAAAGACUAAUGAUUAUGCUACCUUUGCACAGUUAGAAUACUGCGGCCAUUUAAAAUUCAGUGGGCAGGUCAGACUUUAAAUUAAUUUCUAAAAGACAUGUUUUUGUUAAAC
rnacentral:rRNA from 1 species